AGCUCCAAUAGUGUACAUAUAAGUUGUUGCGGUUAAAAAGCUCGUAGUUGGAUCUGAGGCUUAGAACAGCGGUCCCCUAAUGGGUUGUACUGCUGAUUCUGGUCUAUCUUGUCAGUCGGUGUGCGGUGCCCUUCAUUGGGUGUCGUAGGCUGCUGACAAUUUUACUUUGAAAAAAAUUAGAGUGCUUAAAGCAAGCGAUUGCUCGAAUAUCUGUGCAUGGAAUAAUAGAAUAGGGCUUUGGCUCUAUUUUGUUGGUUUUAGGAGCACGAGGCAAUGAUUAAGAGAAACGGACGGGGGCAUUUGUAUUGCGACGUUAGAGGUGAAAUUCUUGGAUCGUCGCAAGACAAACGACUGCGAAAGCAUUUGCCAAGAAUGUUUUCAUUAAUCAAGAACGAAAGUA
rnacentral:rRNA from 1 species